AGUGAACGCUGGCGGUAGGCCUAACACAUGCAAGUCGAACGGCAGCACAGUAAGAGCUUGCUCUUACGGGUGGCGAGUGGCGGACGGGUGAGGAAUACAUCGGAAUCUACUUUUUCGUGGGGGAUAACGUAGGGAAACUUACGCUAAUACCGCAUACGACCUACGGGUGAAAGCAGGGGAUCUUCGGACCUUGCGCGAUUGAAUGAGCCGAUGUCGGAUUAGCUAGUUGGCGGGGUAAAGGCCCACCAAGGCGACGAUCCGUAGCUGGUCUGAGAGGAUGAGCAGCCACACUGGAAGUGAGACACGGUCCAGACUCCUACGGGAGGCAGCAGUGGGGAAUAUUGGAAAAUGGGCGGAAGACUGAUCCAGCCAUACCGCGUGGGUGAAGAAGGCCUUCGGGUUGUAAAGCCCUUUUGUUGGGAAAGAAAAGCAGCAGGUUAAUACCCCGCUGUUCUGACGGUACCCAAAGAAUAAGCACCGGCUAACUUCGUG
rnacentral:rRNA from 1 species